GGGGCACAGGCAAGCGGACGAGCCAGUUAUCCCUCAGAGCUCCUGCUGCCUCGCCCGCUUUCUCUCGGAAACGUGAAGUGUGGCCUCAGCUGAAAGUGAGGUGGGCCUCAUUCAAUCAGUUGAAUUCUUCAAGAGAGAAAAACUGAAGUCCCUUAGAAGGAAAGAGUUCUGCCUUCAGACUGUCUUUGAACUUAAGACUGUAGCGUCGACUCCUGCCGGAAUUUCCAGCCUGCUGGCCAGCUCUGCAGAUUCACACUUGCCAGCCUCCACAAUCGGGCAGUGGAAGAAGACUGCUCAGAGAGGGACUGGAUGGCCAUUUUGGUGGAAGCUCAGUGGUUUAGACUUGAAUCUUGGAUUUAGACCGCGUGACCUUCAGGUCCACAUUAAAGCUGAAACUUUAUGACUCUGAAUUGGAAUGGAAGACCGACUUGAACCCAAAUGUAUGCUCAGAAAUUCUGCAAGCAGCUUCAUUACUGAAUUACUCCAUUUCUAAUCUCACACUCGUAAUGCAAAUGGGCUUACUAAAGCUGGUUAUCAGGGAAAUCUAAUUUAAUUUCACUGUCUGAUGAAGAUGAUGUCUAGAUGGGUACUAUAUUCUUGACUGGCUUUAUUGAACAUACUUUAAUGUUAAGUGUCUUCGAAUAUUACAUUUUCAGGUACUUGCAUGGGCUGCUCUCAGCUAAGAGUUUCAGAUCUGAAUGUUAACUUUGGAGUCCACUUUUAGGUCACCAAGGGAGCUAUGAUAUCUCAGUAAAGUCACUUUAGCUUUCUCAGAUGCAGUUUCCUCACUUGAAAAAAAUUAGGCAAGUAAGGCUUGGCUGCCUCACAGGCUUACUUCAAAGUCAUAUAUAACUGAAAACUCCUAAACAUAAACAAGGGAGAGAUUAUUGUUCAAUUUUUGUGUCUAAGGAAGCCAUGGUCCAUAAUCUUCACAUCAGUGCAAAAACAUCACUGCACUAUGGUGACAAGUCAAUGCUUCUGUGGACAGAGACUUUUGUACAACAGAAUUCUUGCCUUGAAGGAAUAACAAAAAUUUAUCUAGGGACUUAAAAGGCUAUUUAAAAAUAUUCUCCAUGUAAAGAUAAACUUUAAGAAUAAUAUUUGCAUAGCUAUUAAUUUAAUUAGUACAUGCCUACAUCAAAGCCAAUGUAUCUAACUAGAACCUAAGUUAUUUUCCUGCAUCUCAGUGUUUCUUCGAUUUGAAAGUAGUCACUGUUUCCUAACUGACCAGUUUACAAUAACCAUGGGAGGCACCUUGGCUCAUCCUUCUAAUGAGUUUGUUGGUCUGGUCUUUCCUGCUGCCAGCAGCUCCUUCCAUAAAGUAGGUGGUCCCUCACUCCAGCUCAUAGAGAAAACUUGAAGAGCCCUGGAAAGUUGUUUGCUUCUUUGAAGCGUUUUCCAACAGUAUAGAGCUCAGGAAUCAGACCCUUGAUGCAGAUGAUACUGUAUUUCCCAAGAGGUCCAGCAAUCAAAAAGCUCUCUGUCAAGGUAAUUUGCUUCCCAUUGAUUUUGCCCAU
rnacentral:lncRNA from 1 species